AAAAGGGACCAAGCACUUCAUGUUUUUUUUACAGAAGAACAUACCCAGGCUUACAGUUCCCAAGGGAUAAGAAUCCAUCAUGGCGGGAAGCAUGGCAGCAAGCAGUGGGCAGGCAGCUGAAGCAAGAAGCUGACAACUCACAUCUCCAACCACAAGCAUGAGGCAAAACAGAAGCAAACGUCUUAAUGAGGGAUCAUAAAGGUGUCCUAAUUGGACUUGUUGACUUCAGACAGCCUACAUUCAUCUAAGAGAAGAAGCCUCAGCUGAGGAAUGGUCUCCAUCAGACUGGCCUGUGGCCAUGCCUUCUGGGAACUGUGUCUUGAUUAGGAAUUGAC
rnacentral:lncRNA from 1 species